AUGUGUCGGGGAAGCAAGCUGAGAGAAGGAGAGCUGCAAAUUUGACCCUGAAGAACAGCAAGGACCUUGUCCACCGCUCACUAUGUUGGCUUGAAGGAGGUUCCUCCCUACUCAUGGGCAUGUGAAUAUUUGAUUCCCAGUCGGUGACACUGUUUGGGUUUAUGGAUAUGAUUUUUAUGUUGUCCGUGUGACCUUACAACAGAACAUCUAUUUUAAAGUAUGCACCUACCAGGAAGACACAACAGAAAAGGACGUUCUGUUCAAUAUGUGGUGUCAAGAAGACUCAAUUCGUGCUCUGCCCUCAUCUUAUACAAUGUGCAAAAGUAAUUCAAAGGAGGUGAAAAACCCAAGCAUACAACCUGAAAUCACAAAGCCUCUACAAGAGGAUGUAUGGAAGAAUCUCACUGACACCAACUUUGAGACACAUCUAAAUACGAAAAGAUGCUCAAGAUGGCACAGGCGAUGAAAACCUCAUCAGUUACAGUCGGUUAGGACACUGGAAAUGGCUAACAGGGCAAGAGG